GUGGACCCAGUAGCAACAUAUGAAGAUCACCUUCAUGUUUCCAUGAAAUUUCCAAAAUCUAUUUAAACUUGAAUGACAAGAGAAUACUUAAAUGCAGAUUAAGAUAAAAUGACGAGUACUCUUGGGUGUUGGAUUGCAGUUCUGUUGUUGUUGUAAUCCAGGAGCGUAUUUAUAUGUUGAAUAUUCCAGGAUGUCUCAGGAUUGACUUUGAUGGGAAUAAAGGCAAACUAGCCCUUAAUGGUCUUAUAAAAUUUGCGGAUUCUUCUUUUUCACAACCUCUUUUCUUCCAUCCUGAAGAUUAUCUCUGGCAGCAUCUGUGUUUUGAAGUUACCCUGUAUUUGAAGAAUCAUCUGCAUAAGUCAUUGGCUACUUCAGAGUAGUUCUGCAUGUCACUGUGGAGUAAAUGGUGAAUAUUACAUUAUACCCCAUAUUUUAUAUUUUCCUCACUGCAAAACAUGAGGGAAAAAAAACAAAAAAGUAGCUGUGAAGAUGAUAAGGCUGCAAGAGAUGGAGCCAGGUGGAAGGUAAGGCAUGAACUGCUGUGUAACUGAGGAUGAAGAAGCCAUUUUGACACAUGGUA
rnacentral:lncRNA from 1 species